rnacentral:tRNA from 1 species
GGGGUUAUGGCUCAGUGGUAGAGCGCUCACCUGGCAUGUGUGAGGCCCUGGGUUCAAUCCUCAACACCA